CCUACGGGUGGCAGCAGUGAGGAAUAUUGGUCAAUGGGCGCGAGCCUGAACCAGCCAAGUAGCGUGAAGGAUGACUGCCCUACGGUUUGUAAACUUCUUUUAUAAAGGAAUAAAGUGAGGCACGUGUGCCAUUUUGUAUGUACUUUAUGAAUAAGGAUCGGCUAACUCCGUGCCAGCAGCCGCGGUAAUACGGAGGAUCCGAGCGUUAUCCGGAUUUAUUUUGUUUAAAGGGAGCGUAGAUGGGUUUUUAAGUCAGUUGUGAAAGUUUGCGGCUCAACCGUAAAAUUGCAAUUGAUCCUGGCAGUCUUGAGUGCAGUAGAGGUAUGCGGAAUUCGUGGUGUAGCGGUGAAAUGCUUAGAUAUAACGAAGAACUCCGAUUGCGAAGGCAGCUGACUAAACUGCCACUGACAUUGAUGCUCGAAAGUGUGGGUAUCAAACAGGAUUAGAUACCCCUGUAGUC
rnacentral:rRNA from 1 species